UAACCCGGUAAUCCGUAACCGGGUUAUACACCUGGUCAAAUUUUUUUUCCCCCAAAACGACACCGUUGUCUCACAUUUCGAACAAAAAUGACUCUCUCGAAGACUCAAACGAAUCUCAGUCUCACUCUUCAGUGAUCAGUCUGCUCUCACCCUCGUCACUGUCGUCUCUCAAGUUCUCAACCCUAGUCGUGGCGAUUGCAAAUCUGCCGUCUCUAUCUCGAAACCUAAGGUGUGUUAAUCUCUCUCUCUCUCUCUCUCUCUGUAUCUCUGUCUCUCUCGGUUUGGGUGGAUCCCUUUUAUGGGUUUAUGGUUGAUUUUUGCUUGGGUCAGCGCUAUCUCCAUGUGUUUUGUCUAAACUUAUUCUGAUUUAGUAGUACAGUUAUUUACAUGGAAGUCCCAAAAGGGAUUGCAAGAUUUAGCCUUUAAAUCUUAGGGUUUGCAUCAUCUAGCUUCAAGAACCAAUGGUUGUUGAGAAAUAGCAUUAGUAUUAUAGAUGGAUUUAAAUGCUAUUUCUAUAACAUCAAUAAUUUGUUAGGAGCUAAGCUCGUAUUUGUUCAAUGUUGUUCCGUAUAUCUGGUUGGGCAUUCAAUGUUAUUCAAUGUUGUUCCUUAUAUCUGGUUGGUAAAGCAUAAUGUAAUUUUUUGUAGACUCCUUCCCUUUUAUAAUUCAUCAAUUUUUUUGUAAUUUAAAUGCCCAUAUCUACAUUUAUUGUUCAUGACUAUCUACUCGAGCCAAAUUCAAGUUGUUCUGUAAAACUUGACCAAUGAGUUAAUCAAAUAGACAGACAACAGAGGCUUUUUAUUUUUCCACCGAUGGUAGGGGCCUUUUGGAUUAUUUUACACCUACUCUGGAGCACUUUUCAUGCCGUGAUUCAACUGGGCAUUAUAUGUAUGGGCACUUUUCAGGCUUUUUUUUUUUUUUUUUUGGCUUAAUUGAAUUGGUUGUACAUUGAGAUUGCAUAAAUAGAUAUUUACUUUGUGUAUUACUCUUUUGUUUUGGUUUCUCUCUCUUUUAUUUUCCCUUUGAGUUAAUUUCUGUUGUACUUACAAGAUAUCUUUGCUCAAUCUCUCUUCUCUCUUUGAUUAAAAUGCUUUACCAUCUGCUUGUUUACGGUUAAAACAAACACAUUUUGUGUAUUUAUAAGUGAGAAGAAACUGAAAAAUUUUCUCUUUAUCAUCCUUUUGCUUAAUUGAAUUGGUUGUAAAUUGAUAAAUGUGCAAAUUGAUACAUGCGCCUGUGAUCGUUGUGUCGUGGAGUUUAUUUCCUUUGAGUUUUGUUUUGUACUAAAAAUUUGCAAGAAAAAUGUAAAUCUUGAGAAUUGAAACAUGUUUUUCUACAAUUCAAGUGAAAAGAAAAUGAAUCACUCUGUUUUGCAAUUACUUUAAUUUGUUGAGUUUGGUAGCCUUUCUAGAUUCUAGCACAACCAUUUAUUUUAUAAUGACCAUUUAUGAGUUCCUGAUAAGGAUAUACUCAUACCUUGAACUUUAAGGAAUACAUAAUUAUUAAUCUUUUUUAUCUUUAAAUAAGAGUACUGCUAACCAAUCAUAUGAAACUUACUAUUUAAAUAAUCAUUUUGACGUGACACCAUUAUGUAGUGACACGAGAUUUAUUAAAAUAAAAAUGCUGUUUGCAUCACACAUUUUAUUACCCAGAAUAGUUGUCUACUAAUUAAUUACUAUUGAAGACUUCUUGCAGGAUGUUUAUUGGUACAUGCAAGAGGCUGAGAAUCAUGGUUCUGAUGCUGAGGUAGAAACAAUUUUUACGAAUAAUCAGUAAGAGGUACUCUAAAAUAACUUGACUUGCUAUGGAUAAUUGUUGUACCUUUGUAGCUGACAUGAUUUGGCAAUGUGGAAAUGUGUUUCAUUGUACGAGGAAAUGAAUGUUCUUUUUUUUUGGCAAUGAGGAAAUGUGUGUUUCAAUUUUCAUAGUAUCUGCCUAUGUUCACAGGAAGUUGUUGGUCAUUCUCUUCAACUGGUGCUAUAGAAGGAAUAAACGCCUUAGUCACUGGUGACCUUGUUAGCCUUUGAAUGGGUAAUAAGCAAUGGUGGGAUUGAUACAGAAGCUGAUUAUCCCUACACAGGUGUGGAUGGUACCUGCAACACUACUAAGGAGGAAACCAAAGUCGUAACUAUUGAUGGCUAUGAAGAUAUGUCAGAAUCAGACAGUGCUCUCUUGUGUGCUACUAUUCAGCAGCCCAUUAGUGUGGGUAUAGAUGGCUCCGCUAUGGACUUUCAACUAUAUCUGAAUGUAGUAUCUUUUAAUGUAUUCUGUUAUGCAUUGUUGGGUGACCCUUUGCACUCUUUUCUGAAAUAUCCAUAUGUCUAUAUGAUUUACUUUUUAAUUUGUUGAUUACAGGCCAUCCAUUUACCAGAUCAAAGUGAAAGAAAUCAAAUAUUCCCCCAAAUUCAAGAUUCAAGAUGUGAAGAGUUAUCAUAUUGUAUUAGUUUAAUUAGUUGUAAUGUAUUAUUAUUGAUUUUAUUUUUUGUAAAUUUAUGUUUUGCAUUGUGAUGUAA